rnacentral:ncRNA from 1 species
CUCGCUUCGGAAGUGGUGGGCUAUUGCAUCGCGUGCCUUCGGCACU